rnacentral:rRNA from 1 species
UACAGGAGGUCCCAAGCGUUGUUCGGAUUCAUUGGGCGUAAAGGGUGCGUAGGCGGCCAACUAAGUCAGACGUGAAAUCCCCUCGGCUUAACCGGGGAACUGCGUCUGAUACUGGAUGGCUUGAGAUUGGGAGAGGGAUGCGGAAUUCCAGGUGUAGCGGUGAAAUGCGUAGAUAUCUGGAGGAACACCGGUGGCGAAGGCGGCAUCCUGGACCAACACUGACGCUGAGGAGCGAAAGCCAGGGGAGCAAAGCGGG